AGAAGAAGAGAAGGAGGAAGAAAAGUAAAAAGAAAAUGAAAAAAAGAAAAAGGGAGGAAGAGAUAGAGAAAAAGGAAUGAAAAAAAGAGAGAGGAAAAGAGAAGAAAAAGAUAAAAAGAAAAAAGAAAGAAGGAAAAAGAAAGAAAAAAAAUGCACUCUUAGAAUUCUGUUUUCUUCUCUUCCAGUAGGUGGUGUUGUGCAUUCCAGGUUGAGUCUCUGCCCUCAGGGUGGAGGAAGCAAUUCUUGUGAGGCGGCUCUUCCUCCCCUGCCGGGUGCCUCUCCAAUUUUGAUCUCUUUGGGUUGUUCCCUGUCUCUAUCCCCCUCACUUCUCCUGCCCACCAGGCCUCAAUUACUGGGACUCUUCUCCACAUCCCUGGGUUCACUCUGGGCACGUGGCACCCUGGCUGCCCCGCGUUCCUGAUCAACUGAGCACUACCUCUGUGUUGGGAAGUCACCAAGUCAUUACAGCUGUGGAGAGGGGGAGUUGGAAUCUGGCAACCUGUUCUGUCUUAUUCCCUCUGAUAGCCACGCCCACUAAGAGCUGGUGAGAAAGGUUUUGGGUUAUCACAUCUGGGGGAGGGGGAGUUGGAGAUC
rnacentral:lncRNA from 1 species